CAGCAGCCGCGGUAAUACGAAGGGUGCAAGCGUUGCUCGGAAUUAUUGGGCGUAAAGGGUAGGUAGGUGGUGACAUUUGUCUGGGGUGAAAUCCCUGAGCUUAACUCAGGAAGUGCCUUGGAAACGGUGUCACUAGAGUACUGGAGAGGUUCGCAGAAUUCUUGGUGUAGCGGUGAAAUGCGUAGAGAUCAAGAGGAAUACCAGAGGCGAAGGCGGCGAACUGGACAGUUACUGACACUAAACUACGAAAGCGUGGGGAGCAAACAGGAUUAGAUACCCCAGUAGUCCCUGUCUCUUAUAC
rnacentral:rRNA from 1 species